rnacentral:rRNA from 1 species
UCAAGCUGUAAAGGGCGCAAGGGGAAUGCCUUGGCACUGAGAGCCGACGAAGGACGCGACAAGCUGCGAUAAGCUACGGGGAGCCGCAAAUGGGCUUUGAUCCGUGGAUUUCCGAAUGGGGAAACCCGAUGGAGCAAUACUCCAUCAACCAUGACUGAAUACAUAGGUCAUGGUGGGGAACCGCCUGAACUGAAACAUCUAAGUAGGGCGAGGAAGAGAAAUCAACCGAGAUUCCGCUAGUAGUGGCGAGCGAACGCGGAAGAGGCCAAACCGGAGGUAGCAAUAUUUCCGGGGUUAGGACUGCAAUAUGUAACUUUAAUCUUUAACUGAAUGCUUUGGGAAGAGCAGCGAUACAGGGUGAUAGCCCCGUAAGUGAAAAGGAUUGAGUGCUAGCAGUAUCCAGAGUACCAGCGGACACGUGAAACCCGCUGGGAAGAUGGGGGGACCAUCCUCCAAGCCUAAAUACUACUCAGUGACCGAUAGUGGAGCAGUACCGUGAGGGAAAGGUGAAAAGUACCCCGGGAGGGGAGUGAAAAAGAACCUGAAACCUUGUGCCUACAAGCACCGAGAGUCCGUUAAUGGAUGAUCGGGUACUUUUUGUAGAACGGUCCGGCGAGUUAAUAUUUGCAGCGAGGUUAAGGAACUGGAGUUCCGGAGCCGCAGCGAGAGCGAGUCUGAAAAGGGCGUAUGAAGUUGCAGGUAUUAGACCCGAAACCGGGUGACCUAUCCAUGAGCAGGCUGAAGCGGUGGUAAGACACCGUGGAGGGCCGCACCCACGUCUGUUGAAAAAGCCGGGGAUGACUUGUGGAUAGCGGAGAAAUUCCAAUCGAACUCGGAGAUAGCUGGUUCUCCCCGAAAUAGCUUUAGGGCUAGCGUUAUUUUAGAUUACCGGAGGUAAAGCACUGAAUGGUCUAGGGGCCGCGAGGUUACCAAAGCCUAUCAAACUCUGAAUGCCGGAUAAUUGAUGAAUAGCAGUCAGACUGUGUGAGAUAAGUCUCAUAGUCAAAAGGGAAACAGCCCAGAUCUACAGCUAAGGUCCCAAAUGAACACUAAGUGGAAAAUGAUGUGAAACUGCGAAGACAACCAGGAUGUUGGCUUAGAAGCAGCCACUCAUUCAAAGAGUGCGUAAUAGCUCACUGGUCGAGUGGUUUUGCGCAGAAAAUGUAACGGGGCUAAGUGUUCAACCGAAGCUUAGGCAUUGCAGCAAUGCAUUGGGUAGGGGAGCGUCGUAUGCGGGGUGAAGUCAGAGCGGAAGCACUGGUGGACUGCAUACGAGUGAGAAUGCCGGAAUAAGUAGCGAGAAUUAUGUGAGAAUCAUAAUGGCCGAAAAUCUAAGGUUUCUUGGGGAAGGUUCGUCCGCCCAAGGUUAGUCGGGAGCUAAGCUCAGGCCGAAAGGCGUAGGCGAUGCACAUACGGUAGAAAUUCCGUAACCACCGAACAUUUAAGCUAGAGGGACGCUUUCUUUAAGUCUAUCCCGGGCGAUGGUUGCCCCGGGCGUAAGGGACCGAAAUUUAGUAGGGAAGUAGAUGGCGAGAGAGACGAGAAAAGCUCUAGUGUAUACUAAGGUGCCCGUACCGCAAACCGACACAGGUAGAUGGGAUGAGUAUUCUAAGGCCAACGGGAGAAGGGUUGUUAAGGAACUCGGCAAAUUGGCCCCGUAACUUCGGGAUAAGGGGCGCCUGCGAGAGCAGGCCGCAGUGAAAAGGCCCAAGCGACUGUUUAGCAAAAACACAGCUCUCUGCUAAAUCGAAAGAUGACGUAUAGGGGGUGACGCCUGCCCGGUGCUGGAAGGUUAAGGGGAGUGCUUAGCGCAAGCGAAGGUGCGAACUUAAGCCCCAGUAAACGGCGGCCGUAACUAUAACGGUCCUAAGGUAGCGAAAUUCCUUGUCAGGUAAGUUCUGACCCGCACGAAUGGCGUAACGAUUUGGGCACUGUCUCAACAGCCCGCCCGGCGAAAUUGUAGUACCGGUGAAGAUGCCGGUUUCCCGCAACUAGACGGAAAGACCCCAUGGAGCUUCACUGUAGCUUGAUAUUGGAUCUCGGUAUUCCAUGUACAGGAUAGGUGGGAGGCUAGGAAGCGAGCGCGCCAGCGUUCGUGGAGCCAACCUUGGGAUACCACUCUUGGGAUAUUGGGAUUCUAACCUGCGACCAUGAAUCUGGUCGGGGGACACUGUCAGGUGGGCAGUUUGACUGGGGCGGUCGCCUCCAAAAGAGUAACGGAGGCGCUCAAAGGUUCGUUCAGCACGGAUGGAAAUCGUGCACUGAGUGUAAACGCAUAAACGAGCCUAACUGCGAGAAUGACGGUUCGAGCAGUAACGAAAGUUGGAGUUAGUGAUCCGGCGGUAUGUGAAUGGAAAUGCCGUCGCUCAACGGAUAAAAGCUACCCUGGGGAUAACAGGCUGAUCUCCCCCAAGAGUCCACAUCGACGGGGAGGUUUGGCACCUCGAUGUCGGCUCAUCGCAUCCUGGGGCUGUAUUCGGUCCCAAGGGUUUGGCUGUUCGCCAAUUAAAGCGGUACGCGAGCUGGGUUCAGAACGUCGUGAGACAGUUCGGUCCCUAUCUGUUGCGGGCGCAGGAAUAUUGAGAGGAGCUGUCCUUAGUACGAGAGGACCGGGAUGGACGUACCGCUGGUGCACCAGUUGUUCUGCCAAGGGCAUAGCUGGGUAGCUAAGUACGGACGAGAUAAACGCUGAAGGCAUCUAAGCGUGAAACUCCCCUCGAGAUAAGUGUUCCCAUCCUUCGGGAGUAAGGCCCCUUGUAGACUACAAGGUUGAUAGGUCAGGAGUGGAAGUGCAGUAAUGUAUGGAGCGGACUGAUACUAAUAGGCCGAGGGCUUGACCUU